AAAGACUGAAUCUGUUUUAUUGAGUGCAGUUUUGAAGGUUGGAAGUGAUGGAGAAGACAGAGAGAAGGUUCCAGAGGGAGGGUGCAGCUUUAAGGUUGGCAUCACGUGUCAGAAGCGAAGGUCAGAGAGUGCUGACUGGUGGAUCCCAAGCCAGUGUGGAGAUACAAUCUCUCCACGUCCUGGGUCUUCCCCGAGGCCUCUCUCUCAACUGACUCCUUUCCCCGGAAAGGAGGAGUGGCUCUGCCCAGAACGCCUCAGAGAAUUUAGAGGUGCUGAUCCUCAUCCCGAUGCUUCCCACACGGCUGCAAACAGCUCCGAAACAAGAUAGAUGAUCUGCAACCCUGGCGAAGGCCAACUCCACCGAAAACGACUCUGACCUACUGCCGAGAACCAGAACACUGCUCUUGCUUUGGGCCAAAAGGGAUUGGAUGGCCCCAAGAAGGCCUUCCCUCUCCGCGUUCUCCCGCAGCACCUCGCACAGUAUCUCUCCAGGUCCACAAAACACAUAUAGACCGGAUAAGCAAAGUCCCAGGC
ensembl:lncRNA